GGGAUGGGGCCCAGUGGUAGGGCCUGUGCCUGGCAUGCACAAGGCCUUAGGUUCAACCCAGCACCACA
rnacentral:tRNA from 1 species